rnacentral:misc_RNA from 1 species
AGUGGCAAGGACAGGUUAAUUUUGAUAAAGGGAGUGGAUGCUGUCCACAAGGUAAUUAAGGAGGAAGGUGAUCAAAAGGGUUCUUCUAGUUCUCAUAUGAGUAGAUCCAGGUCACCUGAUCGAAGCCCUGUUGGUUCAAGAUCACAACGUUCUGAUGUCCAUAGAUCACAUUCUGGUCCUACGAACACAUCACAAUUUCAGCCUAGGUUUAGCAGACAGGAGAA